AUCCUGCAUCUCUGAGUUUUUGUAAUACUUGACGAACAUGUAUUUCAUGUUCUUCGACGUUCUUAGAAUAGAUCAGGAUAUCGUCUAGAUAGCAGACGACAAAAUUAUCCAAGAAUUCACGAAAUACAUCAUUCAUGAGAUGUUGAAAAGCUGCUGGUGCAUUCGUGAGUCCAAAGGGCAUGACAUUAUAUUCGAAAUGUCCAUACCUAGUUCGAAACGCAGUCUUCCAUUCAUCUCCUUCUUUGAUCCGUACUAGAUUAUAUGCUCCUCUUAGAUCUAUUUUUGUAUAGAUCUUAGCUUGAUUCAACUGGUCAAGGAGUCCUGAUAUCAAAGGUAAUGGAUACCUGUUCUUGAUUGUGAUCUUGUUGAGUCCUCGAUAAUCAACACACAUUCGUAAAGAUCCAUCUUUUUUCUUUACGAAUAGAAUUGGAGCUCCUACUGGAGAUUUUGAAUGGCGUAUGAAAUUCUUUGCUAAAUUCUCAUCAAUAUAUGUCUUGAGUUCAGCCAUCUCAUCUUGCGAUAAACUGUAAAUUGGUCCAAAUGGUGGCUGAGUUCCUUUCUUGAGGUCGAUUGAACAAUCAUAUGGGCGAUGCUCAGGAAGAAUAUCUGCAUUUUUUUUUCUCAAAAACGUCUUGAUACUCUUGAUAUUGACUUGGAAUGCCACUUGAAGUCUUUACGUUUUUAGAAAUAGGUGCAGCAUAAAUAGCAAAAGUUGAUCCUUCUUUUGCUGCGUGUAUAAAUGCUUUUGCACCUAUCAGUACGGGUUUUACUAUACUAGACUUAUAAUUUUUUACUUGGUUAGUAGAACUAUUAAUAACGCUUUGGGAAAAUUCAAGUUCACGCAAAUUCCAAUCUAUUCGAGGGUUAUAUUUUUCUAGCCAGGAUAAACCUAAAAUAAUUGGAUUGGACGGGGAUUUAAUUAUGUUAAAAGCUAUGUAGCUAUCAUGACCGUCUAUUGUUACUUUUAUAGGAUGAGUUUCAUGAGUGACAUCUCCAGAAGACAAGGGACGACCAUCUAUGACUUCUACAUGUACUGGUUUAGGUUUCUGUACAAAGGGCAUUUUACGACUUUUAACAAAUUGUUCAUCUAAAAAACAUGAUGAGGCUCCCGAAUGUAAUAAAGCAGAGGCUUUGUAAUUCUUAGGUCCUAAAUAUAAGUCUAUUAUAAAACAAGGAGAGGGUUCUGAGGAGAGGAUAGAACCUUCAUUAGGAAUUGUACAAGGUUCCAGCUGCACGGUCCCUAUUGUAGCUGGACGAAUCCGUUUUCUGACAUGUUGUCUUCUUUGACCGUCGUACCCCUCAUUUUAUAGUUGCGUUGUUUCUUUGGACAAUGUUGAGCAGUGUGCUUAGGUUCUCCGCAAUAUAAACAUAAUCCUUCUUGACGACGACGAAUCUUUUCUUGCUCAGUUAGGGGUUUAAAAUGUACCGCGUCAAUUUGCAUGUCUUCUACUUCGAAUGUACGUUUGGCAAAGAUGUUGAUGUUGCCAUUGAGUAAUAACGUUGAGGUUUCCGUGAAUGAUUCUCGGAUUGAAAUUCAAAAAGUCGAUUAUCACAUUUUACCGCAAAAUCGAUUGCUUGACUCAAAGUUUGAGGAUCAGGUAAGUUGAGCAUCAAUUUCUUUACUUCGUAUUGCAAUCCAUAAAGAAAUUGACUGAUGAGUGCAGCAUCAUCCCACUUGAUGUCAAUUGCAAGUUGUCGAAAUUGUGAAGCAUACACUGUUACUGAGCGAUUUCUUUGUCGCAAAAUUUGAAUCUUAUUUGUUACAACACGAGUUGCAUCGUGUUCACCAUACAUAGAUCGAAACUCCGCCAAAAAAGCUUCCAAAUUGUCCAAUAUUGGAUUUCGUUGUUCAAGAAAAGACGAAAACCACGAUAAUGCAGAACCAGAAAGUAGAGUGCCAAUAAACCUGACUUGUGAUCCUGGAGUUGGAUAGCUUUGCGGUUGAAGUUCAAUUACCAAUUGUACUUGAUUGAUGAACCCUUGAAACUUUGAUCUCGUACCAUCAAAUUUCUCGGGUAAGGCAAUUCUUGGUUCUCUAGUGCUUAUAGGAUGUUGUACAAUUGGAGAAGGAACGUGAUUUGUUGUAGAUGUUGAAGCAGCUCCGAUCAUCUCUAUAUCCCCACUUUCUGCUAUUCUUGUUCUUUCAUGUGUUGGUGAAUUGAAUUGAUGCAUCGCAAGCAUUAAUUCCCUCAUUUGCUCUUGCAUUUGUGCCAUUGCACUCUUCAUUUCAACAAGCUCUGCCAUAAUGACACUAAGAAGAAAAAUUUGUUUGAUACUGCUCAAGACAAAAGAAAAUAAAGACUUGAUAACAAAGAAGAUACUUAAAACAAUAUCAGUUUAGAAGUGGGUAAUCCGUAAACUUCUAAUACGCUUAUGCCUUGUCAAGAGAAAGGAGUAAUCCACUCUUACUCAAGAAAAACAAAGCUCUGAUAUUGUAAGUGCACUCUUGUCAAUCUGUCAAGGACAAGAACUCGAUGAAAAAAUAGUUCAGACAAGUAAGCCUUCACUCAAAGAAAAGUAACAAAAUAUGAAUAAUAAGUAUGUAUAUUGAAAAGAGAAACUCGAAUGGCUAUUGCUAAAAGACAAGAAAACUAGAGACCCUUGAAACUAGACUAGAAGCAAGAAAGGAGUUGACAAGAGUGAAGAGAGCUUCACUCUUGCCUCUAUAUAUACUAUCUAAUUAGAAGCCACGUGGCGAUAUUCUAUAAGACCUCCAAUAUGUGUUGACUUUCUAGGCCACAUGUCUUUGCUUGUAAGGCAAGUUUUCUAUGAGUGGACUACGUAGUUAGCUUGUCCUUCAAGCUACCAACAUGUGUGGCAGAUGGCUAACUUGUUGACCAAGUUUCUAACCUAAAAGUCAACUAUGGACUCCUUUAAGAUCAAAGCAGCAUCUAUGAAGCUUCUAAGAAGCUUCUCUAAAAGAUAUUGCACGAUUAACCUACUUUUAUCUACUUUUACAUACUUUUAUCGACUCUUGUAGGUAAUUAUAUGUAUAUCCGUGACAUAUUGUCUGGUAGUAUCACCUAUGAAUCAGAACCUAUAGAAGUGACGUUUAAGGGCCAUAGUAGUCAUAUUAUUUUCAAUAUUAUUAGAACUCCAUCAAAUCUUGUUAUUUUCGAUCUUUCUUGAUUGAAAAAGCAUAACCCAUUCAUAGAUUAGAAGUUGCAGAAGAUGACCUUUCUCACAAAACCACCCAAGAACAAGCCUAAUAGAAAACCCAGAAUAGAGAAAUCUUUAUUCAUUGGAGCAAGAACGUUUAUAAGAUCGUCCAAGGAAGACACACCAUUUGUCAUUUAUGCAGCUCCAACUACCGGGGAGAAGAUCUCGACAGUAAGUAUACUGGAGCAAUAUAAAGAUUUUAAAGACGUGUUUCAAAAGAAGAAUGCCGACAUACUACCGGAACACAGAUCAUAUGAUUGCACCAUAGACUUGCAGGAAGGAGCACAACCGCCUUUUGGCCCAAUCUACAAUCUAUCGCAGACGGAGUUGGUAGAGUUGUAAAAGUACAUCGACGAGAAUCUAGCCAAGAACUUCAUCCGUCAUUCAAAAUCGUCAACUGGAGCACCCAUCUUAUUUGUGAAGAAGAAAGAUGGCUCAUUACGGAUGUGCAUGGACUAUCGAGGCCUUAACAAGGUAACAAAGAAGAAUCGUUAUCCGUUAUCCUUGAUUUCUGGUCUCUUAGAACAACUUAGACAUGCAAGGAUCUUUACAAAAAUUGAUCUAAAGGGAGCAUACAACCUCGUACGAAUCAAGGAAGGAGAUGAGUGGAAGAUAGUGUUCCGUACAAGGUAUGGCCAUUUUGAGUAUAAUGUCAUGCCCUUUAGUCUUACUAAUGCUCCAGUGGUCUUUCAACAUAUGAUGAAUGAAAUUUUUCGAGAGCACCUUAACGAUUUUGUUGUCAUCUAUUUGGAUGAUAUUCUAAUAUUUUCCAAAAAUGAGGAAGAGCAUGAAAAGCACGUUCAUUUGGUCUUGGAGAAACUACAUGAGCAAGGACUAUAUGCCAAGUUGGAGAAGUGUUUAUUUCACUAAAUAGAGUUGGAGUUUUUAGGGUUUGUUGCGACUACGGUGUCAUGUUGUAAUACGAGUAUACCAUGAAAAUAUAAAGAAAGGGGACUUUUAUUAAUGUUCAGUUACCUCGAAUAUUGGGAGCAACGACCAACUCCAGUGCAAAUAUCGAGUGGCCAGGUUCAGUCACCCCGUUACAGUUAGCCAAGGCAUACUGAAAUGCUCCAUUCGAUUCCAAUAACGAGAGUCAACAGGAAGAGAAAGGACCAAUUCACACGACGGGUGAGCCUGGUUCGAAGAGCCAAUUGGAUCCAAUUUCAAGAAUCCAAUCCGGGUCCUCUUAUCCAAUAUGAGACCUGAAUUGGCCGGGCAACCCAAUGCAGUCUAAUUACAAGAAAAUCCAGGUCUUACUACGGGCCUCAGCCAAUUUGAUGCGAAGGACCAAUUUGAUCCAAUUUUGGAAACAUCCGGGUCUUACUACUGGACUCUUAGCCAAUAUGAGACCUGAAUUGGUCGGGCGACUCAAUGUGGUCCCGAUUACGGGGUUUCGAUUCUGUUUCAGGCUGUCAUGUUCUCUGUGUCGUUUCAGGGAACGUUGUUUUUGGUAAAAAGAUCUCUUAAAGGUAAAAACGGAGGAGAAAGCUCUGACGGCGAGAGCCAAUUUCGGAUCCAAGCUCUGACUGUGGGAGCCAAUUCCGGAUCUAAGACGGAAGAUUGAAGAAAUUCAGAGGAUAAGGUUAGGGGAGAGAAUAAGUUUUUGGGAAAUUUUGAAGGAUGAGGGGGGAGCUAGCUUCAUGCUUCGGAGCGGAGAAAAAAGACAGAGAAUUGGGUUUUUUUUUCUUCAUAGGGUUUUGGGAAGAUUGAGGCAAUCGUUGCUGAAGUCAGUGUUGUAAUGGUGAAUCGGGAUUUUUAAAUGAAGUGGAUUUGAAUACUCUUGACUGUUUUGUAAAAUCGAGUUACGUCUGUGAUUGAAGGAUUAAAGGGGUGUCUAUAGGAUUGAGUAUGCGGAGUGAAUGAAAUUUAUUGGAUUAAUCUAACAAGACAGUCAGUGGAUACAAGAUCGUAAGUACAAAGGGGUAUUGAAGAUUAACAGUUUGGGUUGUUCGGGGUUCUCUGUAACGUCUAGAGACCUAUCGACUGGGACAAAAAGGACUUCGGCGAGCAGUCGAAGGGCAUUCGUAUAGAUUUACGAUGUAUUCCUGCAGUCGUUUAUAUUCCAACUGUCAAAAACUGAUAGAGUGCUUGACUAUUGGUGAAUCUCCAUACUACUUUCUACAGUUAGACGCCCGACACGUUCUCGAGCAGGAAAGCACAUAAUACGACAAUGGAAGGCUUGAAGAUGGACCCCAAGAAGGUAGAAGCAAUCGUGUCCUAGGAGGUUCCGAAGACGGUUAGAGAUGUACAAUGCUUUCUUGGUUUUGCCAACUUCUAUCAGAUCUUCAUCAAGAAUUACUCUCAAGUUGCUGCUUCUCUGACUCAAUUGACAUACAAGGAUAAGCUAGAAUGGGGACCUCUAGCAGAGAAGGCGUUUCAAGAACUGAAGAUUGUAUUUACUACGGCUCCAAUCUUGGUACAUCCAAACUUUACAAAGGCCUUUUAUUUAGAAAUUGAUGCUUUGGAUUUUGCUUUGGGAGCUGUACUUUCACAAAUGGGAGAAGACAAGAAGUUCCAUCUGGUUGCAUUCUAUUCUCGAAAGUUCUCUGCUACUGAAAUCAAUUAUGAGAUCCACGACAAAGAACUUCUUGCUGUAGUAGAUUCUUUCAAAAAAUGGCGUCAUUUCCUUGAAAGAACUGUACACCCAGUGAUUGUAUACACAGUUCACAAGAAUUUGGAGUAUUUCAUAUCGACUCGAGUUCUAAAUUGACGUCAAGCUCGGUAGAGUAUGUCGCUAUCUAGGUUCGAUUUUGUUAUUACUUAUCGACCUGGAAAGCAGCAAGGACUAUCUGAUGCCUUAUCGAGGAGAUCGUAUCUUGUACCAAAGGCUGGAGAAGUAGCGUUAGAUCAACAAUGUAUGACGUUAUUGAAGCCAGAGCAAUUUCGGCUUUGCACUACUAUUGUGCCAAUUAAUGUUGACUUCCUGAAUCAGAUAUGUGUCGUAACCAUUGAAGAUUCAAUAGCCAUUGAUAUCAAGUAGCAUGCCAAUGACGAUAAGUUCAAGGUAGAGGGAGAUCUUUUAUACUUUGAGGAGUGGUUGUAUAUCCCAAAAGGACCAGCACAACUCCGAGUUCUUCAAUCUCGCCACGAUUUUUGAGCUGCGGGACAUUUUGGAUUCAACAAGACCUUGGAGCUUAUUUCUCGAGAUUUUUGGUGGCCCCAAAUGUAGAAGGAUGUAAAAGAUUUUGUCCUCUCCUGCAACAUCUGUUCAAGAUCCAAGAAUCCUUGGCAUUGCCCUUAUGAACUCCUACAACCAUUGCCGAUUCCACGUCGAUCAUGGUCUUCAGUUUCCAUGGACUUCAUUACGGAGCUGCCAUCAUCGAACUCAUUUGACAGCAUCUUUGUCGUGGUAGAUCGGCUUACAAAGAUGGCACACUUUGUCCCUUGCAAGAAGACAUCAUCCAAUGAAGUCACAGCAAGGCUCUUUCUCGAUAAUGUGUAUCGAUAUCAUUGACUACCAGAUGAUAUCGUAUCAAAUCUAGGAACCCAGUUUGUAUCAAAGUUUUGGAGAUCUCUCUUUGAGUUACUGAAGGUAGAUAUCAAGCUUUCUUCAGAUUUUCAUCCUCAAAUUGACGGCUAAACGAAACGGAUGAACCAAGUCUUGGAACAAUACUUACGAUGCAGUAUCAACUAUCAGUAAGACGAUUAGACCACAUAUCUGCCGCUAGCCGAGUUUGCAUAUAACAACACCCUCCAUGCGUCGACUCAAUACACACCAUUCUUUUCCAACUAUGGGUAUCAUCCAAAUCUUGAUUUAUUGAGUCUUUCAAUAAAUAACAAUCUAGCAAUUGAAGGAUUUACGAAACAACUAUCACAGCUUCAAAAUAAAUUGAAGCUUCAAUUACAAUCUGCUUAAAAAUCUUACAAGGCAUUUGUAGAUAGAUUUCGAAAUCAAGCACCUACUUUCAAAAUUGGAGAUAAAGUAUGGCUUCUUCGACAGAAUAUCAAGACCAAGUGACCAUGUGAUAAGUUGGACUAUCAAAGAUUGGGACCAUUUAUCAUUCAGAAGCAAAUCAAUCCAGUGGCGUACCGUCUAGAAUUAUCGGCUUCUAUGAAGGUACAUCCAGUCUUUCAUGUUUCUCUAUUGGAGCCUUAUCGAGAGUCGUCUUUUUUUGGAAGAGUGCAAUGUCCACCACCUAGUAUUGAGAUCGAGAACCACAAGGAAUACGAGGUUGAAAAGGUGCUGGAUUCACUGUGAAGGUGGGACAAGUUGAAAUAUCUUGUUCAUUGGAGCGACUACGACAUUAAUGAGCAAAUGUGGGAGCCAACUGAAAAUCUUGCCAAUGCACCGCAAAAAGUAUAGGAGUUUCAUCAAGAACAUGUUCAUAAACUUAAGCCGGUUCGAUGAUAGCUUCUUUCUAAAGCUUGCUCAUCCAAGCAUAUAAGAAAGGGGGAGAGCACUACCAAAAUUCACAAUUGAUGUAGUUAUUUUGUCUAAGAUAAAGUAGAAUUUUUUCAGUAGCCAUAGUUUGGUCUUCUGAUAUGGAUAGCCAAGAGAUAGAUACUAUGCCAGUCAGAUUAUCUCAACCGACUAGCUCACGAAGGCGACCCCAAGAUGAAGAACCGCCUAUACCACGACGACGACGGAGGAUACCGAGUAACCGAUCACUGGUGAUUGUAUUUGAGUUCGAGCCUGCUUAUGAUGGUCAACCAGAAGGCGUGUUUGUAGGAAAAUUUCACAAUGAGGGCAUGAAAGUUUAUUCUUGGUCAGAAGUUGAAAGAGUGGGCCACUAUCGUUGGCUUCAAAGGUCGAUGAACCACUUGCCUCGUGAACAACAGUUGGAGUCAUAGCAGACGUUAUGCGGCAGAUCUUCAUUUUCUUGCAUUGGUAUUGAUCAAUAACAUUGCUUCUCAGAGACCUCGAAGCUAAAGGAGGGGGUGAUGUUAGGGACAUAGUCCUUAGAACCUUCUAGAGACAAGUUUCUAGAACCUUCUAGAAGCAAGUCUGUGGAACCUUCUAGAAGCUUCUUAGUUGAUAGAAGAUAUCAGGGAUAUAGUCCUUAGAAUCUUCUAGAGACAAGUUUCUAGAACCUUUUAGAAGCAAGUCUCUAGAACCUUCUAAAAGCUUCUUAGUUGGUAGAAGUUGCUUAAGAAGCUUCCUAAAUAGGAGUAUAUAUUGGAAUCGAGGCUGAAGAGUUCUUCAGUCUCGACAAAACAUCUCUUAGAGCUCUAGCUUACAUCUCUGGUGUUGUUCUUGUAUUCAUCUGAUUAAUCUAAUUCUUGUCAAUUUUUCUUGAAUUUCUUGUUAGAUCUCGAGUUUGUAUUUUUGUGUUUGUGACAGUUAGUAUAGAAACAAAGGUUGUCUUUAAAGCUUUGAAUAUUGCUUCUGCUUUUUGAUUCUAUUGAAGUUUGUCUUUACAAGUCAAAUAUAUAAAUAGAGCUAUAAUUUGAGAGAAGUCUUUGAUGAAGAUUUGAUGGUAAAUGACAAAACUCAAAAAACAUUAGAUAUCUCAAAUCGUUUUUGAGAUCUUCCAAUCUAUAAUAAUUUGAACUUUCUUAGGAUCUAUUAAAGUCUAUUGUUUGAAAUGAUGUAAUCUAAGAAGUCAACUUGAGUAGUGUAGAAUACACAUUUUUUUAUCUUGGUAUAGAGUCAUGCAUCUCUUAAUUUUUGUAACCAUGACAAACAUAAAAUUCAUGUUCUUCUGUAUUUUUAGAAUAAAUCAAGAUGUUGUUUAGAUAACAGACAAAAAAAUAGUCCAAAACUUCAUAAAAAAUAUCAUUUAUAAGAUAUUGAAAAGCUACUGGUGUAUUUGUAAGUCCAAAAGGCAUGACAUUAUAUUCAAAAUGUCUGUACUUAGUUCAAAAUACACUCUUUUAUUUAUCUCCUCUUUUGAUGCAUAGUAGAUUAUAUGCUCUUUGUAGAUAUAUUUUUAUAUAGAUCUUAGCUUGAUUCCAUUGAUCAAAAAGUCUAGAUAUUAAAGGCAAUGGAUACCUGUUUUUAAUAGUGAUCUUGUUGACUCCUCAAUAAUCAACACACAUCCGCAUUGAUCCAUCUUUUUUCUUUAUAAAUAAAAUUAGAGUUCUUAAUGGAGAUUUGGAAUGGCAUAUGAAGUUCUUGGCUAGAUUUUCUUCAAUAUAUUCCUUGAAUUUGGCCAACUCAUUUUGUGAUAAAUUAUAGAUUGGUCCAAAUGGCAGCUGUGCUCUUUCUUAAAGAUAAAUUGAGUAGUCAUAGGAACGAUGGUUUGGAAGAAUAUCUGCAUUUUUUUUUUCAAAUACAUCUUAAAAAUCUUGAUAUUGAUUUGGAAUACCACUUGAAGUCUUUGCACCAUUAGAAAUGAGUGUGGCAAAAAUGACACAAUGUGAUCUUUCUUUUGUAGUAUGCAAGAAAGCUCUUGCAUCUACAAAUAUAGGUUUAACUAUACUAGACUUGUGAUUUUUUACUUAAUUAAGUACACUCUUAAUUAUAUUUUUAAAAAACUUAAGAAUACAAGAAAUCUAAUCUAUUUAAAGAUUAUAUUUUUUUAACCAUAAUAAAUCUAAAAUGAUUGAAUUAAAAAGAGAUCUAAUGAUAUUAAAUACCACAAAGCUAUUAUGACUAUUAUUUAUUACUUCCAUAGAAAGGAUUUCAUGAAUAAUAUCUCAAAAAGACAACAAAUGACCAUGUAUGACUUCUACGUGAACAAGUUUAGUUUUCUUUACUAAAGAUAUGUUAAGUCUUUUAGUAAAUUCUCCAUCUAAGAAAUACAUUGAGGUUCUUAAAUCUAAUAAGAUAGAGGCUUAAUAAUGUAUAGGUCCUAAAAUAAUAUUUAAUAUAAAACAAAGAAAAGGUUUUGAAGAGAGAAUAGGACCUUCAUUAGGUAUUGUAGAAGGUUCCAGUUGCACAAUCCUUAUUGUAGUUGUACAAACUUAUUUUCUAAUAUAUUCUCUUCUUUGAUGUUUGUACCCCUUAUUUUAUAAUUGUGUCGUAUCUUUAGACAAUGUUGAGUACUGUGCUUAGGUUCUUUAUAAUAUAAGCACAAUUCUUUUUGAUGACAACAAGUCUUUUUUUGCUCUGUAAGAGGUUUUAAAUGUAUUGCAUCAAUUUGCAUAUCCUUUACUUUUAAAUGUAUGUAUUGAAGAAGUGUUGAUGUUGCCAUUGAAUUAUAAUAACGUUGAGGCCUAUUUGUCUAACCCUUAGAUUAAAAUUUAAAAAGUUCAUUGUCACUUUUCACAACAAAGUCAAUUGCUUGAGUCAAUAUUUGAGAAUCAGGUAAGUUGAGUGUCAAUUUCUUUACCUCAUAUUCUAAUUUGUAGAAAAAUUGGCUAAUACAUGCAGCAUUAUCUCACUUGAUAUCAAUUACAAGUUGUAAAAAUUGUGAAGCAUAUAAUAUUAUGGAUUGAUUACCUUAUUGUAAAAUAUGGAUCUUAUUGGUUGCAACAUGAAUUGCAUCAUGUUCUCCAUAUGUAGAUCAAAACUCUACAAAAAAAAGCCUCCAAAUUAUCUAAUAUUGGAUCUUAUUAUUUAAGAAAAGAUGAAAACCAUGAUAAUGCUAAACCUAAAAGAAGUGUAUGAAUGAGUCUAACUUGUGAUCCUAGAGUUGAAUAGCUUUGGACUAUAAGUUGUACUUAAUUGAUAAAUCCUCAAAACUUAGAUUUUGUACCACCAAACUUCUCAAACAAGAUAACUCUUGGUUUUUUGGUAUCGAAAAGAUGUUCCACCAUAAGAAAAUAGACUUAAUUUGGUGUAGAUGUUGAAACAAUUCCAAUCAUAUCUAUAUCUUCACUUCUUGCCAUUCUUGUUGCUCCUUCUUGUGGUAAACUCAGUUGAUGCAUUACAAGCAUUAUCUCCUUCGAUUGCUCUAGCAUUUGUGCCAUUGCAGUCUUCUUUUCAACAAAUUCUUUCAUGAUUAUAAUUAGAAAAAAAUAUCUAAUAUUACUUAAGAUAAGUAGAAUAUGGGACUUGAAAAUAAAGAAGAUACUAAGAAUAAUAUUAGUUUAGAAGAGGAUAAUCCAUAAAUUCUAAUAUGCUUAUGUCUUAUCAAGAAAAAAAGAUAAUCUAUUCUUACUCAAAAAAAGACAAAGCUCUAAUAUUUUAAGUGUAUUCUUAUCAAUCUAUCAAGGACAAGAACUAAAAAAAGAUGCAUAAACCUAAAAAAUUUGAGUUAGAAGAAAAGUGAUAAAAUAGCAAUAAAGUAAUAUGUAUAUUAAAAGGAAACAAGAAUGGCUAUUGCCAAAAGACAAGAAAACUACAGAGACUCUUAAAUCUAGACUAGAAGUAAGAAAGGAAUUGAUAAGAAUAAAGAGGACUUCACUCUUGCUGCUAUAUAUUAUCUAAUUAGGAACUACAUGAUAAUGUUCUAUAGAACCUCUAAUAUGUGUUGACUUUGCAGAACACAUGCCUUAACUAAUAAGACAAGUUUUCUACGUGUGGACUACAUAGUUAGCUUAUUCUUCAAGCUACCAACAUGUAUAACACAGGGUCAACUUAUUAACCAUGUUUCUAACUUAAAAAGUCAAUAAUAGACACCUAUAAAGUCAAAAUAGUAUUUAUGAAGCUUUUAGGAAGCUAUUCUAGAAGACUUUAUGAAAUUAAUAUAUAUUUAUCUACUUUUAUCUAAAUCAUAUAGGUAAUUAGUGAUUUACAUGUGUAUGUCUGUGAGAUAAAUAUGCAAAUAUACUUUUUUUUUUGGAACAUAUAAGCAUCCUUUGAAAUAGAGUAGAUUGUUUUUGAAUUCAAAUUAGACAUAUCAUGAGACUUAAAAGAAGUAUUUUUGAUAUCAUAAAGAAAAAGAUCAAAGGACAUACUUGUUUGAAUUUUCUUGACAAAAAUUGAAUCAACAGUCAAUGUUGAUUUUAUUACUUAAAGGUGAAAAUAUUCUAGUUUUAAGAAAAUUAUUCUUUAUUAAUAAAAAGAUACAUCUUUUUUUUUGAUGCAAGAUAAGAACAUCUAAAAAGGCCAUCUAAUAAAUCUUAUUAUUUUUUAAAUCAAUAAAUAAUCCUAAAAUCAAAGCUUGAUAAAGUUAUAUUUUAAUGAUCUUGGAAAUAAUUCAAAAUACAUACCAAUUUGAAGUAUUUAUGGUUCUUGUAAUCUAUUUAUAUAGUGACUAGACUCAAGGUGCCUUUUAAAUAAUGAAACCAUUCUUGAAAUGAAUCUACAAUUAUAAAAAACUUAUUAUCAUGGAUUUCAUAAUUAAUCUUGACUAUUCAAAAUUUCUUAGAAUGAAAAGUUAUUAGAUAGAGUUUGUCAUAUACUCUUAUUUGUGACAAAACAAUAAUGAUAGCAAAAUAUGAUGUAUUUUUUUUUUAUAAAAAAUACCUUAAAAAAAUUGACACCAUACAAAAUUAAUAUAAAAAUAAGUAUUAUCUUCUAUGCUUGAAAAGAUUCUUUGCUUUCAUUGCUCGAUUCAAGUUUGUCUUUCUAUAUUAGAUGUAUAAGAAGAACCCCUACUUGAAAAAAAUUCUUGAUAUUGAUUAAAUAAUAAUUAGAAAAUUUUAAAAAAUAUUGUGUAUUUUUAACUAUUUUUGAGAUCUUUCAAUCUAUGAUAGUCUGGACCUUCUUAAGAUCCAUCACAAGACUAUUAUUUGAGAUGAUGUAUCUUAAGAAAUCAACUUAAAUAGUGUGAAAUAUACACUUUUCUAUCUUAGCAUAUAAUCUUACAUCUUUUAGUUUUUGUAAUACACAACGAAUAUGAAUUUUAUGGUCUUUUAUGUUUUUAGAGUAGAUUAAGAUGUUGUCUAAAUAACAACCAAUAAAAUCAUCAAAAAACUCACAAAAGACAUCAUUCAUUAGAUAUUAAAAAUCAGCUAGUGCAUUUGUGAGUUUAAUAGGCAUGACAAUAUAUUUCAAAUGUCCAUAUCUAAUUUGAAAUGUAAUUUUUUAUUCAUCUCUUUUUUUGAUGUGUAUCAGAUUAUAUGCUCCUUAUAGAUCUAUAUUUGUAUGAAUCUUUGCUUGAAAUCAAAGAUAGAAGAUACCUAUUCUUGAUGGUAAUCUAAUUGAGUCAUUGAUAGUCCACAUAUAUCCGCAAAGAUCCAUUUUUUUUUCUUCACAAAUAAAAUAGAAGCAUCAACCAAAGAUUUAAAAUGUCAUAUGAAGUUCUUAGCCAAAUUCUCAUUAAUUCUUAGCCAAAUUCUCAUUAAUUUUUCUUGAAUAUAGCCAAUUUGUUUUGGGAUAGGCUAUACAUUGGUCUAAAUAGUAAUUAAGCUCUUUCUUCAAGAUCAAUAGAAAAAUCAUAAGAAUAAUACUUUGGAAGAAUAUUUGUAUUUUUUUUUUUAAAAAUAUUAAUAAUCUUGGUAUUGGUUUGGAAUAAUACUUGAAAUCUUUUUUCUAUCAAUGAUAGAUGUAGCAUAUAUAAUAAAAGUUGAUCCUUCUUUUGCAAUAUGCAUGAAAGUUCUUGUAUUUAUAUUAUCUCCUUGUAAUCCAAUUAUUUUAAGAAUAUCAUGCUUAGCAAAGUAUAAUCUUUAAAUAGAUUGGAUUUCUUGUAACCUUGAUUUUUCUUAUAGUUUAGUUCAAGAUUUUGAUAGAUAAGUAAAAAUCCAUAAGACCAAUACAUCUUAUUUUUUGACAAAACCUUUAUUUAUAAAACAAGUUGAGGUUCUUGAAUCUAACAAGGCUAAGACUUUGUGAUUUUUUGAUAUUAAACAAACUUCUAUUUUAAAAUAAGGUGAAGGAUCUAAGGAAAAAAUAUAACCUUUACUAAAUGUUAUAUAAGACUCCAGCCACAUGGUCUCUAUUAUAGUUGGAAAAAUUUAUUUUUCAAUACAUCAUCUUCUUUAAUAAGCAUGCUCCGUAUUUUAUAAUUACAUUGCUUCUUUGGAAAAUAUUAAGUAAUAUACUUGGACUCUCCAUAAUAUAGGCAUAAAUAUUUUUGAUAAUGACAAGUCUUUUCUUGUUUAGUAAGAAAUUUAAAAUGCACCAUAUUAAUUUGUAUAGGCUCUUGUUUGAAUAAAUAAGAUUUUAAAAACUUAGAAGGUAUCACUAUGGCUUGACUUAUACUUCUCUGACCAAAUCUUUGUUCUUGGCAUCUUUUAAAGAGUCAAUUAAUACAUGCAAUGAGUUGAGGAAUAAAUUGCUCUAAUGAAUCUGCUCUCAACAUUAUCAACAAUAAAUCUUUGGCAUUAUCUUUUAAUCCAUAUUCAAACUAAUUGAUAAAGGUUUUAUUAUUUUAAUCUACAUUACAAGCAAGAUUUUAAAAUUUAACAACAUAUAUAGUGGUUGAACAUGAUUUCUGUUGUAAAAAUAUGAGUUUGAUUUGUAAUAUCUUUUUUCCAUUAUUUUCUCCAAAUGUAGCUAUAAAUAAUUUCAAGAAAGAAUUCAAAUUAUAGAAUAAUUUUGAAUCUUUUCCAUCAAAGGUGCAAAUCAAAAAAGACACUUCUCAAUAGAAGUACGCCUACAAAUCCAACUUGAGUAAGUCCAUUGAAGUACUGGAAAAAAUUCAACUUUAAAUUAAACUUAACUUAUUACAAAAAUACUCAAGAUUUUGAUCUUGUUUUAUCAAAUUCUUGAAGUAUACUAAUUUUUAUCUCUCUUAUAAUUAUAGAAGCAAGACUUCUUAAAUUUACUUGUGAGACUGAUCUACUUGCUUUCUUUGACUGCACAAUAUUUUGGCAUAGACUUUGGACUUUUUCUAUAUAUUUAGGAAGAGUGUUUCCAUGAUUCACAUUAGAAAUAUGUGAAAUUUCUACUUUUUAAUAAGCUUAUGAAGAUCUAUAAUUAUUAUGGGUCUAUUAUCAUUUUUAUUAAAAUUAGUAUCUUUAGGCUUUCUUUUCAUAGACAACUCAAACAUAUUAAAAAAUUAAAUUAUGGGAGGUUAAUCCACAAUCUCUAAUAUUAAAUAAAAAUCUCAACAAAAAGAGUAAUCUACUCUCUUUAAGGAAAAAAUCAAUAUUAGAAAACUAAACUAUUUGUUUAAAGGCAAAUAAUCCGCAAUCUUCAAAAUACAACAAUAAAAAUGGGAUAAUCCAUUCACUUCUAAAAUAAGAUAAGAACAAUAAAUUAACAUUCUUGUCAAACUAUCAAGGUGUCAAGGACAUGAAUCUCAAAGAAUUAAAAUAUCAAUAUCCUCUUAUAUCAUUUGAAAAGACUAGAAAAUUACUCAAAGAUGAUACAAUAUUAAACUAGAAUGGCUAUUGUUAAAGACAAGUAGAUUAGAAAGUCUUGAAACAAGACUAAGGACUAGAAAGACAUUUAUAAGAGUGAAAAAGGCUUCACUCUUACUUCCAUAUAUACUCUUAACUAGGAGUUAUGUGGCAAUGUUUUAUAAGAUCCUCAAAAUGUGUUGACUUUACAAGACAUGUAUCUUAAUUUGCAAGAUAAGUUUUUUUUAUGCGUGCCAUAUAGUUUGCUUAUUUUGCAAGCUAUCAAUACUUGAUUAAUUUGUUGACUAAGUUUCUAACCUAUAAAUCAACUACAAAUACAUGUAAAAUCAAAGCAACUUCUAUGAAGCUUCUAAGAAGUAUCUUUAAAAUAUAUUAUGAAAUAAAUAUACUUUUAUCUACUUCUAUUUAAUUAUUUAAGUAAAUAUUAGAAUAAAUAUGUAUAUCUAUGAUAUUAUCCUUCCUUUUAGAGAUAAAUUUCACAAAGAGCAGUCAUCAUAUAUUAAAAAAAUCCAAGAUGUGACAAAUUAUAUUUAUCACAUACUUUGAUCUUUAUUCUCUUUGAAGAUGAUUAAUAGGUCUUCUCAACCAUCAAUAGUAUUCUAUAUUAAGUUGAAAAUAUUAUCUUAUUAUAUAAUCAUUGUUGACGCAUUCAAGACUGCUUUCAAAUAAAAUAUUUAGAACAUUAUUAAGAUUCAUUCCUACUUCUAAUAAAAUUACCAAACAUUAGAAGUUUUUUCUAACAUUGUGAUAUCAAAUACAUUAUAUUUUUCCAUCUAUUCAAAGAAAGAUAUAUUAUUCUUGAAGAUCUUCAUUUUGAUGAUAUCAUCUUAAAGGUUGUGAUAAUUACAAUAUUUCAUCUAAUAAGACAGUAAAUGAUAGCUCUUGAGUUGAAUUUGUUGGUUUUUGAUUUUUUAUCUCUUUAGUAUCAUAAAUAUAUAAAAAUUAUAAACAAAAAUAAGAGGUAGAAUGCUAUCUUUUUUAGAGCUUGUUUCUUUUAUAUUAAAGAUUUUUUAUUCUUCAUCUUUGUUUUAAUGGAUAUCAUUAAUAAAAAAUCUCAAUCUUUUUUAUUACAUUUAUAAGAUUCUUUACUACUUCCAUGUGCAUUCACUAAUAUCAUAUUAAUGCCAAUGAAUAAGAUAUUUUAAUCUAUUUUGGUAUUACCUUGAAUCUAAGACUUUUUCUACUUCAAACUCUUGAUUAUUAUCCACUUCUAUAGGAAGAGGUGGAUUUGUUUCCUUUCUAAAAUAUUUAUUGUCUUAUAUGGCUUAAAAAUAGAUAUAUGAAAUAUAAAAUGGAUCUUCAUAGACUCUAUUAGAUAUAAUUGAUAAGCCAGAAGAUUGACUUGUUCACUAAUAAGAAAAGGUCUAUACUUACAAUAGUUCAACUUAUCAUAAAAAUAAGUAGUCUUAAUAUUGUGACAAAAACCAUAUCUUGUUAUCCACAUUGAAUUGUAGUUGUUCCUUGAGAUAGGCAUCUGCAUUGAUUUUUUUGUCAUUCUUAAGCUUUCUUUAAUUAUGCCUUCAUUAUUGUAUGUAGCUUUGAUAAUAAUUUGUUAAAUCUUUUGCCACAUGAUUAUUAAUUUUUAAAAAAUCAAAAAUAUCAAAUCAUAGAUGAUAACCAUAAUUGAUAAAGAAAGGUAUUUUUUGAGUAAAAUAAUAUAUCAAAUUAUUAUACACAAAUUCUAUAAAUAGCAAAAGAAUUGAAAAAAAACCGAAUUCUCUUAAAGAUCUAAAAUCCUUCUAAUCUAUAGCAAUACAAAUUCUAUCACAAAGUAAGACAAAAAAAAAUGAGAAUAAAAUUGAAUAGAACUAAACGGAAUAAAAUAUGAAAGAUAAAAUAAAGCAAAAAAAAAAAAAAAAAAAAAAAAAAAAUAUUAUUAAAAAUUCUAACCAAAUUUCAUUGAGAGAAGGGAACCGAAGCCAUAUCUGAUUGAAUACUCUAAAUGGCCUCAAUUAGUCCUAUUUAUACUUUUUCCAACUAUCUUAGAACUUUUUAGAAUAUCUUUAAUAGUAGGUCCUACAAAGAUAACCGCCUUUUUAAAAGAUUUUAAAAGUGGAACCUACCUUAAUUGCCCUACUAGAAGUUCUUAUAGAUAAGUCCCUACUUAGAUAAUUGCCCUUAGUUUUUUUAAGAUGUUUUAUAGUGAGCUCUAUAUGGACCACCAAUCUAGCCUUAAUUCUAAAAAUUUCUAGAAACUUCUUAAAAAUGGCCUUAAUUAUCUAUCUCUAAAUUGUCAAUAAUACAAUUAUCUUAUCCAUGCCCUAUUACAGUUAAUCAUCCUCUACUAAUGCAAAAUGUUUUUAUUUUACUCUUGAUGGUAUCUCCAAAUUAUUUUUUAACAAUAGAUGAGGUUCUAUAUAAGUUCUCAAAUUGCAUCGUGGAUGGAACAACCUUUUUAGAAGACUUUGUAUUAAAGUUGUCGACGUCCAUUGCCAUGACGAAGAUAAUAAUGCUCCAAAAUACUAUCUACUUUAUAUUCUUGUUGGUCACCAAUUACAAUCAAUGGUAGUGGUAGUUGAUAUUGGUCUAGAAAGUGCCUUGGUUCAAUAUAAAAUUUCUUAAGCUGCAAAACAUGAAAGAUCAGAUAGACUCAAAUAUGUGGCACAAGCUUGAGGUAAUAUGCAACAUAAAAAAUUACUACAAAAAUGUGAAAAAGUCCAAGCUAUCAAAGUGCUAACUUAUAGACUUGGUUUGAUGUAGCAAGUAGAAAGUUGGAAUUGUAAAAUAAUACCUAGUCACCCUCUCGGAAGGUCUUAGGUUGUCAGAGAUUAUCUGCAUACUAUUUUUGUUAAUUCUAUGCAAUAAAGAGGUAGUGUUGUAUUUUUUGCAAAGCAAUCAUAAGCCAUUGUAUAAAUUCUUCCAUUAUUGAAUUUUUGAUGUCGAUAGAGCAAUAGAAAAUUAUUGAUAUAAUUGAAUAGUGACUAAUAUUAAAAAAAAAUGAUAAAUGAUUGAUACUUACUUGAAUACUAUCAUUAUAAGCAAACUCCAAGAGCAUCAAAUAUUCAUCACAAUCAUUAUGAUAAACCACUAUAAAUAUUUGUAGCAUAUUUUCUAAGGUCCAAUUUGUACACUCUAUUUGUCCAUAUAUUUGAGAAUAGGAGGUUGUCGAUAUGGCCUAUCAUAUGCCCAAUGGCUUAAACAAGGCCUACCAAAAAUUACUUCUAAAGUACAAAUCUUAAUUUAAAAUGAUGGCACAAGCUAAUCCAUUGUAAUGUAAGACAAUAUCAAAAAAAAUCUAUACAAGUGAUGGAGCAUGAAUAUCAGAUUGCAUCACAACCAAGUGAAAUUGCUUCAAGUAUUAGUCACAAAGACAUCAACUAUGAUGUGAUUAUGACGCAUUUGCACUAAACUUGUAAUAAGGUCUAUAAUCACUUACUCUUAAUGUAUCAUAAAUAAUAGAAUUGACCAUAAUAGCCUAAGAGAUGUUGCGUUGUAUACUUUAUUACAUUGACAUGACUCACAAGAGUAUACAAAAGCUUAAACAUCACAAUCCAAACUUAUCCAAAAUCAUGUCUUUAAGAUUCAUUCUAUAGUCUUGUCAUGCCUUAGAUGUCCAGAUAUUGGAAUAUUGUGUUUCUCUUCAAAUAUGCACGUCCAAAACAUAACAUUAUUAGGUAUAGAAAUCUACUUUUUAAAAUAGAACAAGCCAUUACUAAAAUUAUAAUCUUAAUAUUGUAUAUUGCCUACCUUCAGUCGAUUGCAUCUUAAAAUAAGUAUUCUAAUGCAUAGCUUCUCUCUAUUUUGUUUCUUUGAUUAGAUUUGAAAUGACAUUACUAAUGGUAGCAACUUUCUCUCUUAAUUUGGCCUCCAAGUUUGGCCUCCUUGAUAAGUUAUCCAACAUAAUAUAUUGUCAUCCUUAUUUGUACUCAAGUUAAAUGUCAAAAUGGUGCAAUUGUUCUUUCUAACAAUGAUGACUUAAUUUCAUAUUUUUAUAUGCAAAUCGUAUAGCAGGGAACAAUUGUUAGUCCAAAAAAUCAUUAGUUUUUCCAAUAGAUAGCGUUGCCAUACUUUUGUGGCAUAUACAAUCGCUAAUUACUCUCGAUUAUGUAUAAAAAAAUUAUACUUUGUCCUUCUAAGCUUGUAUGAUUCAUACUCUAUAAGUUGAAGGCUCCUACCAAAGUCUUGUUAAAGAGUCGCUAUAAUAGCAAAGUCAAAAGCAUCAAUGUCAAGUGUACAAGGAAGGUUGAGAUCAUACGAUUGUAAUAUUAGAGCAGUAAUAAGUACAUCCUUCAACCAAUUAAAGGCACUUUGUUAUUCUAGUUUCUAUUCAAAUAGGCAUCUGUCAUGGACAUACAUUAGAAGAUUCUUCGAAUAUUCUUCUAGAAUAUUCUCUAAAGAUUCUCUAAAGAUUCCUUUAGAAGGUUCUAGAAGAUUCUUAGAAUAUUCCCUAAAUAUUCUCUUAGAAGGUUCUAGAAUAUUCUGAUAGAUUCUAGGAAGUUGCUGGAGAAGUUUCCUAAUUAGUAGAAGUUGUUGGAGAAGCGUCCUAGUUAGCGGAAGUAGCUCGAGAAGCUUCCUAUUCAGUAGUAUAUAUAGGAGUCGAGGCUGAAGGGUUCUUCAGUCUCGACAACACAUCUCUUGGAGUUCUAGCUCACCUUUCUGGUGUUGUUCUUGUACUCAUCUGUUUAAUCUAGUUCUGCUACUUCUUCUUGAACUUCUUGUUAGAUUUCAAGUCUGUAUUUUGUGUCCGUGACAGCAUCCUUGUCAAAUAGGCUUAUUAAUGAGGCAGCAAUGUUUGGAAAUCAUCAAACAAAGUAGUAAUAAUAUUCAACAAGGCCUAAGAAGGAGUAGACUUUAGAAGCAUCUUUGAGAGUUGGCCAAUCUUCUAGUAAAUUCACCUUAUCUUGUUCCAUACAUAUGCCCUCAAAGGACACUAUAUACUCUAAAAAGGUGACCUCCGACUUUCAAAGUUUACACUUUGAUUGCUUACAAUAGAAGCGACUAUCUUAUAAUUAGCACAAUACUUUUCAUAUGUGUUGUUCAUGCUCUCUAGGGAUUUUGCUAUAGAUUAGGAUAUCAUCAAUGAAGAUAACUACAUACUUAUCUAAAAAGUCUCAAAAUAGUUUGUUUAUAUGAUCUAUUGUAAUUGUUAUUUUAUUUAUUCUACAAAUUCUUUUUAGAAUAAAUUUGUAGAAAGGAAUUUGAAUGCAAAGAAAGACUAAUUGCAUGAGCUUAUAUAUUAGGAUCUUACAAUUAACCAUAUUCCAAACCACUAAAAAUACCAAAGAAUACUACAAUGUUUUUUCCUACUAACAAUAGUCCUUCAUCAAUUGAUAACAACAAAGUACAAUUUUGCACUGUCAAAAGACUGCUCAAAAUACAUAAAUUCUAUCUAACACUAGAAAUAAUAGACUUCUACUUCAAUCAAUCUGACUUCACAUAAUUUUUGUAAUAACAGACUUUCUCUAUCAAAACACAUAUAACUUUCAAUAAACAAUAAUCAUAAUCUUCCAUCCAUGAACAAUCUCCCACAGAAUCUGAUAACAAACUUCUAAUAUCCUCUUAUAAUAAUUCAAUCAUACAAUAAUUCAAUUGCUCAAUAUCUUAUAAAUCAAUAUAUGAUUUAUUCCAUAGAUUCUUUUUAUAGUGAUCAAAAUCUAAAACAACAAAAUAAACAAGAAAUAAG
rnacentral:lncRNA from 1 species